CCUGUCUCUGAUCCCCACCUCAGCCCUGAAACACUUCAACAGAACUGAGUGUCUCUCUUGCCCUGGGCAGCGUAGGGGACUCUCCCCUGCCUUGUUGGGAUGUAGUUGAUGGCAGAGGAGACGAUGCACUACGUUGGGAUGGAAACUGUGACUCAGACUCAGAGAGGUUCCUCCUCCUGCACUCCCCUGGUCUAUAGCUAUCACAGGCAAGACCACAGGAUUUCUGUACAGCCACAGGAGCAGAGCAUCAGCCCCCUGAACCAGGAGACGCUGCAAAGCCACAGCUGCUCCCACAAGGCAUCUGCCAGCUUCCUCUCCUGCUUGCACUUCCAUUCCUGCCACCCUAGAAAGCUUCGGGAUAUGCUCUUCCUCCUCGUUUUCUGCUGUUAACUUGGUGCUGGUGUCAUUAUAGUAGCUGCCAUAUUCCACCUCACCAAAACAUGCAAGGGCAGAGAGAGAGAUGCCACAGCUGCUGAGCACCCUGCAUUUCCGGCCAUUUCUGGAAACGGGGUCAUUUGUCGUAAGUGAAUACAAGCUUUUGGCCUCAUCAGCAGGAGGACUGUACAGGCAUCUGUAUUAAGGAGAGACUCAGUACCCUACAGCCUGAGAUUCCCUCUUCAGCUGAGACCUGCCCCCACCAGCUGUGGGGAACCAGUUUGGAAUUUGAAGAACAGGAGUACUUGUGGCAGUUUAGAGACUAACAAAUUUAUGUGAGCAUAAGCUUUCGUGGACUAAUGCCCACUUCAUCAAUCAUAUUCACAAAGAUGUGAUUGGAUUAUUCCCAGCAAAGGUGCAGUAGCACACAGUGACCACAGUGUGGCAGUAAAGGCACAUCACAUCGGAGGUGCACUUCAGACAAGCCAGUAACCAGAGGACUUCAAAGCCUUUGACCAUGGUCCUGCUGGGAGGAAAAUAUCCCUGUUCACAUAGGAGAGAGUCCAAAAAGCCCAGGCUGUGUUUUCAGGAGUGGCCUCUGGUUUUGGUUGCCCAACGAGAGGACAGUUUGGAGCUGAUUUUCAUUGUCAAUUCAUAGAAUUUCAUAGCCAGUGAAGUCAACGGCCAUCGUGUUAAAGGAGGCUGAACAGUGUAUUUUUAGAUAUAUUGCUGCCUACAUUUCCUCCCACGUUGAGGUUUGGCACAUGAUCUCGAAUGGGCUAAGUUACUUGCUAGUCAAAUGUUCGUAGGCUGGCUUGCUCAUAGGGUUUUUGAAACGUGUUCAUUUUAUCAUACAGUUUCAGUUUUUGCCAGCAGCUCUUCCAUUAACUCUAUGGUGUGGGGCUACCUCAGGGGCUCUCGCUGUAAGCAUGUUUCACUAGGGACUUCCCAUUUUUGGCAUCAAAGUGAA
rnacentral:lncRNA from 1 species